rnacentral:lncRNA from 1 species
UAUCCAGUCAGAGCCAAGGGAGAGCAACACGUGUCAAGGCACUGGGAGGCCAUCCAAGAGGGCAUUGCAGAGGCACUGAAUACAUGGCAUUGCUGUUAACAUUUUGGCAGACCAGGAAGAAGGGGAAAAAAAGAAAAGUACCAGCUCUGUUUUAAUACUGAUACUUGGGUGUGGUGAGUUCAGCACAGCCUGUGCAGGACAGCCAUUAUGUGAAAUGGCAUGUAAGGUUUUCUUGUUUUACUUUUCCUUCUGUCCUUCAUAUGGCUGCAACAAAGAGGUCUUCAGGCUUUUCCAUUUCUCAGGGCCCUUCUGAA